GCCUUGGAAGACUUCUUAAAAUGGAAACGUUGCCAUUUCAUCUUUCUGGAUUCAAGCACAGUAUGGUGGCACUUGUCGCAUUUAUCUUCCUCUGUGUCAGCAUCAUAGGUAUGACAAACUAAUUUUCCCUUUGAGAACCUUAUAUUUUCCGACUUGAAUGCAUUGUUCAGUACAUAAGCAUGAUCAACCUCAUUAUUUGGAUUAUAAAUGUUACUUGACCAGGGUGUUCUAGAUGAAUCUGUAUCAUUAGGAUCAUCCAUGUAUGCCAUUAUUGACAUGGAAGAACUGGCUGUCAAUUCAUAGUCAGAAUAGGUUGCAGUUGGGGC
rnacentral:lncRNA from 1 species